UUUGGGAUAAGCCUGGGAAACUGGGUCUAAUACCGAAUAGGACCAUGGACUUCACGGUUUGUGGUGGAAAGCUUUUGCGGUGUGGGAUGGGCCCGCGGCCUAUCAGCUUGUUGGUGGGGUAAUGGCCUACCAAGGCGACGACGGGUAGCCGGCCUGAGAGGGUGACCGGCCACACUGGGACUGAGAUACGGCCCAGACUCCUACGGGAGGCAGCAGUGGGGAAUAUUGCACAAUGGGCGCAAGCCUGAUGCAGCGACGCCGCGUGAGGGAUGACGGCCUUCGGGUUGUAAACCUCUUUCAGCACAGACGAAGCGCAAGUGACGGUAUGUGCAGAAGAAGGACCGGCCAACUACGUGCCAGCAGCCGCGGUAAUACGUAGGGUCCGAGCGUUGUCCGGAAUUACUGGGCGUAAAGAGCUCGUAGGUGGUUUGUCGCGUUGUCCGUGAAAACUCACAGCUCAACUGUGGGCGUGCGGGCGAUACGGGCAGACUGGAGUACUGCAGGGGAGACUGGAAUUCCUGGUGUAGCGGUGGAAUGCGCAGAUAUCAGGAGGAACACCGGUGGCGAAGGCGGGUCUCUGGGCAGUAACUGACGCUGAGGAGCGAAAGCGUGGGGAGCGAACAGGAUUAGAUACCCUGGUAGUCCACGCCGUAAACGGUGGGUACUAGGUGUGGGUUUCCUUCCUUGGGAUCCGUGCCGUAGCUAACGCAUUAAGUACCCCGCCUGGGGAGUACGGCCGCAAGGCUAAAACUCAAAGAAAUUGACGGGGGCCCGCACAAGCGGCGGAGCAUGUGGAUUAAUUCGAUGCAACGCGAAGAACCUUACCUGGGUUUGACAUGCACAGGACGACUGCAGAGAUGUGGUUUCCCUUGUGGCCUGUGUGCAGGUGGUGCAUGGCUGUCGUCAGCUCGUGUCGUGAGAUGUUGGGUUAAGUCCCGCAACGAGCGCAACCCUUGUCUCAUGUUGCCAGCACGUAAUGGUGGGGACUCGUGAGAGGCUGCCGGGGUCAACUCGGAGGAAGGUGGGGAUGACGUCAAGUCAUCAUGCCCCUUAUGUCCAGGGCUUCACACAUGCUACAAUGGCCGGUACAAAGGGCUGCGAUGCCGUGAGGUGGAGCGAAUCCUUGUAAAGCCGGUCUCAGUUCGGAUCGGGGUCUGCAACUCGACCCCGUGAAGUCGGAGUCGCUAGUAAUCGCAGAUCAGAAUGCCGCGGUGAAUACGUUCCCGG
rnacentral:rRNA from 1 species